CCCUGGUUAGUUUAGUUGGUAGAGCGCUCCACUGGAAAUACAGAGGUCCCGGGUUCGAUACCCGCACCAGACG
rnacentral:tRNA from 1 species